rnacentral:rRNA from 1 species
AUGCAAAAUACUUGGUCAAGAGAUGCAAGGGAUGCCAGAAGUUUAGUUCCAAGCAACAUUUGGCGGCUUCUACACUCAAGACCAUUCCCCUUACCUGGCCUUUUGUCGUCUGGGGGACUGGACAUGGUGGGACCAUUCAGGACAGCACGCGGCGACAUGACUCAUUUGCUCAUUUCCGUGGAUAAAUUCACCAAGUGGAUAGAAGCAAAGCCAAUCAAGAAGUUGAACGGUCCGACUGCUGUGACUUUCAUUUCACACAUCACCACUCGGUACGUCAUACCUCACAGCAUCAUCAUCGACAACGGCACAAAUUUUUCUAAGGGAGCUUUGGCUCGUUUCUGUGCGACACAGGGCAUCCGACUAGACUAA